AUACCUAUCGGACCAUUAAUUCACAUAAUAUCGCUUCGGACAACUUGCGAAAGCAACGCGAACACAUUUUGUUUCUCCGAACAUAAAACGGUAUAUAUAUUAGAGUUCGCAAAAGAUAGAGAUUGACGACAGCAUGUUUACUUAGAGGUAGGUGUGGUCUUGAAUGGCAGGAACCAAGGAAGAAGAAGUGAUGUUCGUAAGUCGAUCACAAAAUAUGAAAAUGAACACUGGGGAUUUCUAUACAAGCAGUGCUGAAACUACAAAAUAGGAGGCCCGUG